GACGAACGCUGGCGGCGUGCUUAACACAUGCAAGUCGAACGGAAAGGCCCUGCUUUUGUGGGGUGCUCGAGUGGCGAACGGGUGAGUAACACGUGAGUAACCUGCCCUUGACUUUGGGAUAACUUCAGGAGACUGGGGCUAAUACCGAAUAGGAGCUCCUGCUGCAUGGUGGGGGUUGGAAAGUUUCGGCGGUUGGGGAUGGACUCGCGGCUUAUCAGCUUGUUGGUGGGGUAGUGGCUUACCAAGGCUUUGACGGGUAGCCGGCCUGAGAGGGUGACCGGCCACAUUGGGACUGAGAUACGGCCCAGACUCCUACGGGAGGCAGCAGUGGGGAAUAUUGCACAAUGGGCGGAAGCCUGAUGCAGCAACGCCGCGUGCGGGAUGACGGCCUUCGGGUUGUAAACCGCUUUCGCCUGUGACGAAGCGUGAGUGACGGUAAUGGGUAAAGAAGCACCGGCUAACUACGUG
rnacentral:rRNA from 1 species